rnacentral:rRNA from 1 species
AUGAACGCUGGCGGCGUGCCUAAUCCAUGCAAGUCGAGCGAACAGAUAAGGAGCUUGCUCCUUUGACGUUAGCGGCGGACGGGUGAGUAACACGUGGGUAACCUACCUAUAAGACUGGGAUAACUUCGGGAAACCGGAGCUAAUACCGGAUAAUAUUUCGAACCGCAUGGUUCGAUAGUGAAAGAUGGUUUUGCUAUCACUUAUAGAUGGACCCGCGCCGUAUUAGCUAGUUGGUAAGGUAACGGCUUACCAAGGCGACGAUACGUAGCCGACCUGAGAGGGUGAUCGGCCACACUGGAACUGAGACACGGUCCAGACUCCUACGGGAGGCAGCAGUAGGGAAUCUUCCGCAAUGGGCGAAAGCCUGACGGAGCAACGCCGCGUGAGUGAUGAAGGUCUUCGGAUCGUAAAACUCUGUUAUUAGGGAAGAACAUACGUGUAAGUAACUGUGCACGUCUUGACGGUACCUAAUCAGAAAGCCACGGCUAACUACGUG